GACGAACGCUGGCGGCGUGCUUAACACAUGCAAGUCGAACGGAAAGGCCCUGCUUUUGUGGGGUGCUCGAGUGGCGAACGGGUGAGUAACACGUGAGUAACCUGUCCUUGACUUUGGGAUAACUUCAGGAAACUGGGGCUAAUACCGGAUAGGAGCUCCUGCUGCAUGGUGGGGGUUGGAAAGUUUCGGCGGUUGGGGAUGGACUCGCGGCUUAUCAGCUUGUUGGUGGGGUAGUGGCUUACCAAGGCUUUGACGGGUAGCCGGCCUGAGAGGGUGACCGGCCACAUUGCGACUGAGAUACGGCCCAGACUCCUACGGUAGGCAGCAGUGGAGAAUAGUGCACAAUGGGCGGAAGCCUGAUGCAGCAACGCCGCGUGCGGGAUGACAGCCUUCGGGUUGUGAACCGCUUUCGCCUGUGACGAAGCGUGAGUGACGGUAAUGGGUAAAGAAGCACCGGCUAACUACGUG
rnacentral:rRNA from 1 species